rnacentral:rRNA from 1 species
UACAGAGGGGGCCAGCGUUAUUCGGAAUUAUUGGGCGUAAAGGGCGCGUAGGCGGCCAUGCGUGUCUUCCGUGAAAUCCCUCGGCUUAACCGAGGACGCGCGGAAGAAACUGCAAGGCUCGAGUCCGGAAGAGGGGGGCGGAAUUCCCAGUGUAGCGGUGAAAUGCGUAGAUAUUGGGAGGAACACCAGUGGCGAAGGCGGUCCCCUGGGCCGGAACUGACGCUGAGGCGCGAAAGCGUGGGUAGCAAACGGG